rnacentral:rRNA from 1 species
UGAGAGGAAGGCCCCCCACAAUGGGACUGAGACACGGCCCAUACUCCUACGGGAGGCAGCAGUGAGGAAUAUUGGUCAAUGGGCGGAAGCCUGAACCAGCCAUGCCGCGUGCGGGAAGGAGGCCCUAUGGGCUGUGAACCGCUUUUGCCUGGGGGCAAUAAGGGCGUCGCGCACGUCCGAUGAGAGUACCAGGCGAAUAAGCAUCGGCUAACUCCGUGCCAGCAGCCGCGGUAAUACGGGGGAUGCGAGCGUUAUCCGGAUUCAUUGGGUUUAAAGGGUGCGUAGGCUGUGCGUCAAGUCGGGGGUGAAAUUCCGGUGCUCAACACCGGGGCUGCCCUUGAUACUGUCGCGCUGGAGUGCGGAUGCCGCCGGAGGAAUGAGUGGUGUAGCGGUGAAAUGCUUAGAUAUCACUCAGAACACCGAUUGCGAAGGCAUCUGGCGAAUCCGUAACUGACGCUGAGGCACGAAAGCGUGGGGAUAGAACAGGAUUAGAUACCCUGGUAUUCCACGCCGUAAACGAUGAUGGCUAACCGCCGGCGACACACUGUCGGUGGCCAAGCGAAAGCGAUAAGCCAUCCACCUGGGGAGUA